UACCUGCAGCUCAAGUGGUGGCCGCUAUUAUUGGGCCUAAAACGUUCGUAGCCGGUUGAGUAAAUGCCUGGGUAAAUUGUGCCGCUUAACGGUACGAAUUCCGGGUAGACUACUCAGCUUGAGACCGGGAGAAGCUAGAGGUACUCCUGGGGUAGAGGUGAAAUUCUGUAAUCCUGGGGGGACCACCAGUGGCGAAGGCGUCUAGCUAGAACGGGUCUGACGGUGAGGAACGAAGCCCUGGGGCGCAAACCGGAUUAGAUACCCCGGGUAGUCCAGGGUGUAAACGCUGCUUGCUUGAUGUUAGUUGGGCUCCGAGCCCAAUUAGUGUCGGAGAGGAGUUGUUAAGCAAGCUGCCUGGGAAGUACGAUCGCAAGAUUGAAACUUAAAGGAAUUGGCGGGGGAGCACAGCAACGGGUGGAGCGUGCGGUUU
rnacentral:rRNA from 1 species